rnacentral:rRNA from 1 species
UACAGAGGGUGUAAGCGUUAAUCGGAAUUACUGGGCGUAAAGCGCGCGUAGGUGGUUUUGUAAGUUGGAUGUGAAGUCCCCGGGCUCAACCUGGGAACUGCAACCAAAACUGCAAAGCUAGAGUACGGUAGAGGGUGGUGGAAUUUCCUGUGUAGCGGUGAAAUGCGUAGAUAUAGGAAGGAACACCAGUGGCGAAGGCGACCACCUGGACUGAUACUGACACUGAGGUGCGAAAGCGUGGGGAGCAAACAGG